rnacentral:rRNA from 1 species
UACGUAGGGUGCGAGCGUUGCUCGGAAUCACUGGGCGUAAAGCGCACGUAGGCGGACUCUUAAGUCGGUGGUGAAAUCCUGGAGCUCAACUCCAGAACUGCCUUCGAUACUGAGAGUCUUGAGUUCGGGAGAGGUGAGUGGAACUGCGAGUGUAGAGGUGAAAUUCGUAGAUAUUCGCAAGAACACCAGUGGCGAAGGCGGCUCACUGGCCCGAUACUGACGCUGAGGCACGAAAGCGUGGGGAGCAAACAGG